UGAAUCUGAGCCACAGCUGUGACCUACAUCCCAGCUGCAGCAAUGCCAAAUCCUUUAACCCAAUGCUCUGGGCUGGGGCUCAUCAAACCCAGGCUUCUGAAGCGACCUGAGCUGCUGCUGCUGGAUUCUAAGCCCACUGCACCACAGUGGGAACUCCUGGAAUUUUCUGUUAAAGCAUUACUCACGUCCCCAUAGAAUAAUAAGAAUUUACAUGAACUUUCGUGUUUCAUCUGAAGCAUGAACGUGAGCAUUCCUGUAAAUCUGUCAUUCCCAUCACUGGUUAAUCAAAAAUACAAGAUAGGGAAGUUCCCGUGUGGCUCAGUGGUAAUGAGCUCAACCAGUAUCCAUGAGGACGCGGGUUCGAUCCCUGGCCUAACUCAGUGGGUUAAGGACACAGCGUUGUGGUGAGCUGAGGGGUAAGUCUCAGACCUGGCUGGAUCCCACGUUGCUGUGGCUGUGGUGUAGGCCCGCAGUUACAGCUCUGGUCAACCCCUAGCCAGGGAACUUCCUUAUGCUGCAAGUGCAGCCCUAAAAAAAAUUACAAAAGAAUGUAUGGUCUUUUAAGGUUUCAUCCUAUGUCUAUCCCUAAAAUAGAUGAAAUUUUGCCCCUUAAAUUAGUAUCUUCAGUAAUUAUCUUUUGAAAGGUAUAUGCAGAUGCAAACAUAUAAAUUUAAAUAUAUUCAUGGUAAAUAAUGUCUUAAUUUUCAUACAUGUGCUUACUGUAUACCGAUUUAUAAAAGUACUGUGUCAAGGUACGAUUACUAUACAUAUAGAAAUAACAACAAAAGGCUCCUAGAUGUACUAGGGAUCAGAUGAGAAAGUAGUUGGUUAUUAGCAAUUUAUCUCUAUUGGUGGAAAAACAACUCAAAGUACACAUUUUAUUAGAAGUGGAGUUUUAUAAGUAUUGUCUGAAAUACCCAUGGCACCCUGACAUUUGUAUUACUUCCUCUUGUUUUCACAAUUUUGUAAGACAUGCAUUGUUCACAAAAAAAAAAAAAAAAAGGCUCAGAAAAGAUUGUCUUCAUCUGCAGAUGACAUGAUACUACGUGUAGAAAACCUUAAAGACCCCCCACAAACUGCUAGAACUGGUAAAUGAAUUCAGCGAGGUGGCAGGAUGCAAGAUUCACACAUAGACAUCAGUUGCAUUUCUUUUUUUUGCUAUUUCAGGGCCCCACCUGUGGCAUAUGGAGGUUCACAGGUUAGGGGUCGAAUCAGAGCUUCUGACCUACACCACAGCCACAGCAACUCGGGAUCCGAGCCGAGUCUGCGACCUACACCACAGCUCUGGCAAGCGGAAUCCUUAACCCACUGUCCGAGGCCAGGGAUCGAACCCACAUCCUCACGGAUCUCAGUCGGGUUCAUUAACCUCUGAGCCCCGGAGAGAACUCCCCAGUUGCAUUUCUUUACACUAACAAUGAAAUAUCAGAAAGGGAAUGCAAACAAAUAAUCCCUUUAAAAGCUGCAUCAGAAAGAUACAAUCUACAGAUGUAAUGUGACCCUAUCAUUAUUCAUGACAUUUUUCAUAGAACUAGAAAAAAUAAUUCUAAAAUUUUUAUGGAACCACGAAAGACCCAUAAAAGCAUUCCUGAGGAACAAAGCAGGAGGAAAAACCCUCCCAGCUUCAAAGACAGUAUGACAAAGCUGCAGUAAUCAGGGUGAUAUUGGCACAAAAACAGACACAUGGAUCAAUGGAAGAGAAUAGAGAGCCCGGAAAUAAACCCAGACACCUAUAGGCAAUUAAUCUUUGACUAAGGAGGCAAGAAUAUACAAGGAAAAAUACUUUUCGGCAGGUCGUGUUGCGAAGUUGGACAGCCACUUGAAAAUGAAGUUAGAACACACCCUCACGCCAUAUACACAAACUCAAAAUGGCUCGAAGACUUAAAAUAUAAGCCAGGACAUCAUAAAACUCCUAGAAGAGAACAUGGGCAAAACAUUCUCUGACAUAUAUCAUACCAGUGUUUUCUUAGGUCAGUCUCCCAAGGCAAUAAAGAUAAAAACAAAAAUAAGCAAAUGGGACCUAAUCAAAUUUACAAGCUGUUGCACAGCAAAGAGACCAUAAACAAAGCGAAAAGACAACCUACAGACUGGGAGAAAAUAGUUGCAAAUGAUGCUACCCAUAAAGGCUUAAUUUCCAAAACAGUUCAUACAAUUCCAUGACGUAAAAGCAAACACUCCAAUGGAAAAAUGGACAGAAGCAAUGAGGUCCUGCUGUAUAGCUAGGGUACUAUAUCCGGUCUCUUGGGACAGACCGGGAUGAAAGAGAAGACAGGGAAUGUAUGUAUGACUCGGUCACAGCAGAAGUUGGCACAACAUUGUAAAUCAGCUACAAUUAAAAAAAAAAAAGAAAACGAAAAAUGGGCAGAAGACCUAAAGGGACAUUUCUCCAAAUAAGAAAUACAGCUGGUUGGUUAGGAGGCACACGAAAAGACGCUUGUCAUCGCUAGUGUUAGAGAAAUACAGAUCAGCUCACACCAGUCAGAAUGGCUAUCACCAAAAAGUCUACAAAAAACAAAUGCUGGAGAGGGUGUGGGGAAAGGGAACCCUCCUACACUGUUGGUGAGGAUGUAAAUUGGUGCAGCCCCCAUGCAAAACAACAUGGAGGUUCUUCCAAACACUAAAGACAAAAAAAAAAAAAAAAAAAAAAAAAAAAAAAGAGUUCCCGUCGUGGCGCAGUGGUUAGCGAAUCCGACUAGGAAUCAUGAGGUUGCGGGUUCGGUCCCUGCCCUUGCUCAGUGGGUUAACGAUCCGGCAUUGCCGUGAGCUGUGGUGUAGGUUGCAGACGCGGCUCGGAUCCCCUGUUGCUGUGGCUCUGGCGUAGGCCGGUGGCUACAGCUCCGAUUCGACCUCUAGCCUGGGAACCUCCAUAUGCCGCGGGAGCGGCCCAAGAAAUAGCAACAACAAACAAACAAAAAAAGCUAAAUCCCAGCUUUCUCUUGAGAACAGAUUCUUUAGCAAGUUGCAUCCAUGUUCCCAUUUACACCCUGUUCUUUCAUUGAACAUGAAUCCAUGUUUGAAUCACUGGACCGCUUACGGAUGGUAAUUAUCCACUCAUAAUUGUCACAACCUCCUAUUUCGUUGGUCAUCAUCCUGUUUUAUGUUUUAGACACAGCGGUCAAGGAUAAAUGUCUAGCGCUUUAAUAUAGUUCUUUUUCUUCACAUUUGAACCCCUAGGCAAUCAACUUCAAGUCCAAUGAGCAUCUGAUCUGGGCUAAAAUUUCACAACUUUAGGCAUAUAUGAUGGGUUUUUUUUGUUUUGUUUUGUUUUGUUUUUGCCUUUGUCUAAAUUUUACUGCGAUCCCAGUUCACCCAAGAAAAAGCAGACGACAGGGUGGGGGGGGAUUAGCGUGCAGUGUCCACUGCCACCUCUCCCGUGUUCUCAUCUCUGCUGUUCUUCCGUCCGGAGAGCAUCGCCUCACGCCUCCCCUUCCUCCCUCGACUCCCCUUCGCUCAUCUUUCAGUUCACGUCCCCACUCGUCACGACUCCUACCCUUCUUGGACAUCAUAACUUAGACGUCGCUUCAUUCGGGAAGACUCCGCCCAGCUUCCCCGCAGACGGAGGGCGACUUUUUCCACAUCUUUGUUUCUUUCUGUAGGACGACGUCUCUCUCCUCCAGCACAGAAGGACCACCUCUUCACGUGGCCCCUGAUACUUUCCAAUCCUCGCAUCUCACAGCUCUCAUCCCAACAAAAGGGCCAAAUGCUGUUUUUCCUGUUUCCUCACAAACUCUUGGGUAAGGCUGCCGAGUGGUCGGGUGGGGUGAGAGGUCCCCCCUGGAAGCAGCCAUCAGCAGGAGUCACAGAGAACAACGGGGUGCCCACUACCCACCCCUCAAGAGUUGAGGGCUCUGAUGGCUAAGUUUAUGUAUUAAGUACACUACGGUGUUUAAUUAUUUAAUUAAACUCAGAUCCAGGUGUUGCUGUGAAAGCAUUUUACAGGUGUGGUGAACCUCUGCAAUCAGAAUUGAUUUUAACUAAAAGAGGUUUUUUUUGUUU
rnacentral:lncRNA from 1 species